ACAUGCCUACAACAUAGCGUUAAUGCACCGGAUCCCAUUAGAACUCCGCAGUUAAGCGUGCUCAGACUAGAGUAGUACUGAGAUGGGUGACCGCCCAAAAACUCCUACUGUUUUACAUUCC
rnacentral:rRNA from 1 species